GCCAGGUUUGCCAAGCUAGGUUAAAGGCGCUGGACUUAAGAUCCAGACUCGUAGGAGUUCACCGGUUCAAAUCCGGUACCUGGCA
rnacentral:tRNA from 1 species